rnacentral:lncRNA from 1 species
UGCCUUGAGCACAUGACUGCUCAUAUCGAGGCGAGCCCAUGUUUGAUACACUUCCAUUUCCAUAAAAGUUAUUCUGAUGAUGCUGCUGAACCAGCUGACCAUUCCAGGCAGGACCUGUGCCUUGAGCAUAUGUCUGCUCAUAUCGAGGUGAUCCCAUGUUCGAUACAGUUCCGUUCACAUGAAAAUUCUGCUGCUGCUGAACCAUCUGGCCAUUCCAGGCAGGACCUGUCCCUUGAGCAUACGAAUGCUCAUAUCGAGGUGAUCCCAUGUUUGGUACAGUUCCAUUCGCAUGAAAAUUCUGCUGCUGCUGAGCCAUCUGGCCAUUCCAGGCAUGACCCAUCCCUUGAACAUAUGACUGCUCAUAUCGAGGUGAUCCCAUGUUAGAUACAGUUCCAUUCGCAUGAAACUUCUGCUGCUGCUGCUGAAUUUGAGGAGUCAAAGGAUCGGUUUGUCCAGCCAAACCAGAAGAUUGGAUUUUUGGAGAACCAGAGGUACUAUUACUAUCAGAGAACAUAUC